UGGUGCUAAGAGCCGAGAAUCAUGGAGAGAACAAGCGUGAGCUUCGCUCUUCUCCAUGACAACGGUCACAUGAUCUUUAGAAGUCGGAUGACGUGAUCGGGAGAGUCAGCUGACAAUCCCACACGUACUCAGUCUUAGCCCCUUGCUCUUGCUCAGUGGCCAUUACCCCUUACAGCAGAAUUUAAGAAAAGAUGCAGCAAAAAACAGUGCAUGAGUUCAGAGGCAUACGGUAUAUAGCCACAUAGAAUGCACAGAUUGCUGGCAUUAGAUCUGUGUAUCCAGUGAACUAUGUAGGAUUCGCUGGACUACGUCGAUGGCUGUCUUUUUUUUUCUUUUAAUAAAAUGGUUAACAAGGGCUGUGUGGGG